rnacentral:rRNA from 1 species
AUUGAACGCUGGCGGCAUGCCUUACACAUGCAAGUCGAACGGCAGCGGGCCCUUCGGGGUGCCGGCGAGUGGCGGACGGGUGAGUAAUGCAUCGGAACGUACCCGGGCGAGGGGGAUAACCGGCCGAAAGGCGGGCUAAUACCGCAUGAACUCGGAAGAGCAAAGCGGGGGACCUUCGGGCCUCGCGCUCUCGGAGCGGCGGGUGUCCGCGUAGGCUAGUUGGUGGGGUAAGGGACCACCAAGGCGAGGAUCGGUAGCGGGUCUGAGAGGACGUUCCGCCCCCCUGGGCCUGAGCCACGGCCCAGACUACUCGGGGAGGGAGCAGUGGGGAAUCGUGGACAAUGGGCGCAAGCCUGGUCCAGCACUGCCGCGUGGGUGAAGGAGGCCUUCGGGUUGUAAAGCCCUUUCGGCGGGGAAGAAAUCGGUCAGGCGAAUAGUCUGGCCGGAUGACGGUACCCGCAGAAGAAGCACCGGCUAACUACGUG